ACUCCGCCAAUGCAACUUCUCGCAUUGCCGGUCCCAAGCCCGAGUAAAGGAGGAGGGAAAAGGGCGUCAAGGUGAGUUGUGUCAUUUUCUUCCAUUUUAUUUUACAUACAACGUUAAUCUUCAGGUCACUCGACUAAUUUUCAAGUCACUUGACUAAUUUUCAGGUCACUUGACAUAGUCGGCAUGGCCCACGCUCUGUUUGGUUGUAAGUGAAAUUGAUUUAUGUACUUUCCCUAUUUCAAAUGUUAUGGUCAACAAGAAUAAAGCAGCAUGAAUGUUGGGAUAGGACAUUUGCAAGCUGGUACUCAAUUGGUGGACAGCUUGGAUCUUGUACUUGUGUCUGAUUGACACAAAUGGGAGUAUGUAGAUGGCAUGCCUUAUACUUGUGUGUCUGAUUAGUAAACCUCUACAAGCAAUACCUGCCCUGGACAUGGAUUUCUUGAUUGCAACGUGUGUUUGCUAUCAUGCAAGGCCUAUGCAUGGACAAGACUGGGCAUGGAUAUGGAUUAAGAAAUGAUUUAUUUUAAUAAGGAGUUUGAUGUAUUUUAAGAAGGGAGUUGAUAUCGUCCACACCCACCAUUUUUCCAAAUGGAAAAAUUGACUGUAUGCUAGUGACAAAGGUGGGUGUAAAUCGUGGCUACUCCCUUUUUGAAAUUAUUGCUUGGUAGCUUCAUCUGUCAAACAUACUUCCUUAACAUGGGUUUUAUAAGAUAGUUCCAGAAUAUUCUUGUACUAUACUGCAUUCGGUUCCACAAGAAAGAGGUGUUCAACUAUCGGGCCUAUCUUUCUCUCAGUUUUAACAUGUUAAAAACUGAAUCAGCAAACUAAGAAUGCAACCGGUGCAGUAAAUUGCAGUUAAUUUGAAUGGAAAAAAAAAAUCUGUUUUGUACAUAGGAAGCCAGGUUGCAUACACUAAAAUGAUUAUAUAAAAAAAUUUGUUCAUGCACUAGAUGAUAACUAAACCAACCAAUAUUCUACAUUCCUGUAUUGUACAAUGAUACUGCAUUUCUCAGUUUAGUUCGUGUAGUCUUUUGUUGUGCAACUGUUGAUCUCUAAUUUGCUUCCAACAGAAAUUGUCUAUUGCGAAGGAAAGCAAUCUUCUGAUUGCCCAAUGCGAAUGCAGGUAUCGUGGCACUUGACAGUUUCAUUGGGUUGUACAAGAGUUUUGUAGUUAAUGCAUUGAAGAAUCUCCCAAACAGCAGAUGCAUUGAGGUCAGAAAGCCUCGAGCUUGUGCAACCCAACUCUCUUACAAUCCAACACAGGCCUGGAUAGAAGGUGUGCAAUAUCCAAGCUUUCCAUCAGGUGGUUCCCCACUUCUUGAUGCCACGGUCCAAAAAUCAGGCAAGUCCACUCCAUAUGCUUAUUCAAAGUGAAAGUAACUAUAUAGAGUGUAGGCUCAGGGGUCCACAAUGCUUACAUGGAUGCAUGAUCAAAGCUGCUCAUCAGUUUUAUCCUUGAAGAAAAAGGGAAGAAAAAUCUGUCCACAUAUUUAUAAAAAAAAAAAAAUUCAUAGCUACUCUCCUCCAUCUACUUAUUACAGGUAUUUAUUGAUUCCUUUUAUUUUAUAUCAAAUUUGUUUUUUGGUUAUUUUAU